rnacentral:rRNA from 1 species
CAAUAGCGUAUAUUAAAGUUGUUGCAGUUAAAAAGCUCGUAGUUGGAUUUCGGAGCAGCCUGGCUGGUCCGCCGCAAGGCGAGUACUGGUCAGCCGCCCUUCCUCUCGAAAGCCCCGACUGCUCUUUAUUGCAGUGGUCGGGUAGUUCGGGACGUUUACUUUGAAAAAAUUAGAGUGUUCAAGGCAGGCCUACGCCUGAAUACAUUAGCAUGGAGUAAUGGAAGAGGACCUCGGUCCUAUUUUGUUGGUUUCCAGGACCGAAGUAAUGAUUAAGAGGGACAGUUGGGGGCAUUCGUAUUUAAUUGUCAGAGGUGAAAUUCUCGGAUUUAUGAAAGACGAACAACUGCGAAAGCAUUUGCCAAGGAUGUUUUCAUUAA